AAUCUUCAGGGCAGGGUGAAAUUCCCGACCGGCGGUAAAGUCCGCGAGUGCUAUGGCACAGAUUCGGUGCAACUCCGAAACCGACAGUAAAGUCUGGAUGGAAGA
rnacentral:ncRNA from 1 species